rnacentral:tRNA from 1 species
GAGGUUUUCGCUUAAUUAAAGCGUCUGGGUUGCAUUCAGAAGAUGUGGGGUAGAGUCCUGCAGAUCUUA